AGCAGGCAGCAGUAAAUAAAAAAAGUGAGAGCUUUGCGUCUAAUCUGUUCCAAGUGUUGCAUUCCAAUCUUGGUCCAACUGGCAAGGACAAACAAAAAGUUGGAACUGAAUUUGACCUGAUCUGUGCCUUUUGAACCGAUAGUGAGACGCUAGCUCCAACUGCCUCGUACCGUGUAGUGUACUACUCCAAAAAGCUAAUGGUGUUCUGCUCGUAGUAGCUGAAAAUGAAAACAUAACUUUGGAUUUCCAAAAGGAGAAAAAAGGGCAAUUUGAAGUCAGUUUCAUGGGAUGUUUAGCUGACAAAUCUGUGCACUAACAAGUGAUUACACACUCAUCCUAGGCAAGAACGUAGCUUGCUAAGGUCCUGGUAUCUAAUGGUUCNNNNNNNNNNNNNNNNNNNNNNNNNNNNNNNNNNNNNNNNNNNNNNNNNNNNNNNNNNNNNNNNNNNNNNNNNNNNNNNNNNNNNNNNNNNNNNNNNNNNUUUUCCCUACACUUUUUGCAAAACAUGUCCAAAUUUAAGUUUUUAAAUUUUCAUAACUAGUAGAUGUAGUAACAUAACUACAUCUCGAAGGAUUUUCAUUUUUAAAGUUUUUAUCAUUUCUUUUACUUUUUACAAAACUGAAAAGGCGAUCCACAGGACGGCGGGGGGGGGGGGGUGUUAGAGUUUGAAAAUGAGACCUUUAGUACCUGUUCGUGCCAUGAACCGAUACUAAUGCUUCAAACCCCUGAGACUAAUACCUGUACGGUGCCCUAGCUGUUUGAACCGGGACUAAUGCUCACAUUAGUCCCGGUUCGUAAUGCAACCGGGAUUAAUGCUCUUUUCUGGCCGAAUCAAAGCCCUGUUUUCUACAAGUGUCGUCUAAAAUACACUGCUGGGCUGCGCGCCUGGGCCAAGUAUCUCGGUCUAUCGAGCUGGCCCGGUCAAAACCAGGACCAGACCGACUUAUUUUCGGGCCUGUUUCUGCAGACCGGACCGACCAUUUUUAUCAGCGGGCCAGGACCGUUCGGUCCGAUCCGUUGCGGGCCACGAGCCGGGCCAAAAGCCCGCUCGCCACGUCCAGGCCGAGUCUUGUGUAUCGUUGUACAUUUCAAAGCAGCAAGCAAGGAUCGGAGUACCCAAAUACUGUAGCAGCCUAGACGUUCCCCAAAUACAGUAUAAACUAGUGAACUUAUGAGGAAAUUUCCUUGGACCACUUUCAGUGACCAGCACCCACCGCUUUCCUUGACGUGAUCCGCCCGUCCCCCAUUGCGUCACACGCCUAUCUCCGCAAAGUCACACUCCCAACCCUCUAAAGGCUUGAGUGCUCUACCCACAGCCAUUACCACGCCUCGCACAAUUGUCGCCAGGCGAGACAAGGACAGCUAGCAAGAGAGCAAGGCGAUGUCAAUGGCGGACGAGCAAUACGACGCUGGGCCGCGUGGGGCGCCGCAUGGGCUGCUGUUGGCGGUGGUGGUGGGGCUGCUGGUUGGGUGGCCGCUUUUCCUAAGUGACGGCGCUGAGGCGGUCACCGAUGCCAUCGCCGGGCUGCUCGGCCCCGUGGGCCUGCUCCUCCUCCCGGUGGGGCUCCUCCUCCUCAUCCACCUCCUCUCCUGCGACCGCUCCCCCGACGUGUUCGAGUUUGGCGGCUCGCCCGACGCCGUGCACCACGUCGGGGGAUCCCCCGUGGGCGUGGCGCUGAUGCUGGUCCUCAUCCUUGCCCUCCUCUACUACCGGUCCGCGCUCUUCGGUGGCGGCGGAGCGACGACGAGUAGGCGCCUAGGCGCUCGCCAGUAGGUACUAGGUAGAGCCUGAUCUCGGUGUGGCUGGUUGGUUGUUCAGACUUGCGAGUAGGCACUCCAGCAGGCAGCAGUAAAUAAAAAAAGUGAGAGCUUUGUGUCUAAUCUGUUCCAAGUGUUGCAUUCCAAUCUUGGUCCAACUGGCAAGGACAAACAAAAAGUUGGAACUGAAUUUGACCUGAUCUGUGCCUUUUGAACCGAUAGUGAGACGCUAGCUCCAACUGCCUCGUACCGUGUAGUGUACUACUCCAAAAAGCUAAUGGUGUUCUGCUCGUAGUAGCUGGAAAUGAAAACAUAACUUUGGAUUUCCAAAAGGAGAAAAAAGGGCAAUUUGAAGUCAGUUUCAUGGGAUGUUUAGCUGACAAAUCUGUGCACUAACAAGUGAUUACACACUCAUCCUAGGCAAGAACGUAGCUUGCUAAGGUCCUGGUAUCUAAUGGUUCGACAGUUACUCAGGAGUGACGUGGUGGGGGAGUUCCGCGGGUGUGCUGUGUGAUUUGGAAGCGAACUAGAAGUAACUAGUCUUCAACCCAUGCUACUGCAUGGGCUAGUAAUUACCGAAAAUUUAUAAUAUUAUACAUAAAAUGUUUAAGUAAUUAUUUACUUUAUAUCCCGUCCAAAUCAGAAGUAUUGAUUAUUUUUACUACUUAUUUUCAUAGCGCAGAUAAUAUUAUAUUUCCUACGCCCUACACUUUAAAUAUUGUGGACAAUCAUAUACCUUUAAAUUUCAUAUGCUAGUGUCCUGCAUUAUGCACUGGAGAAGCACGGGAUGUUUUUGCCUAGUAGUAGCACUGGGUUUUUUCCUAGUAGUAGCACUGGGUUUUUUCCUAGUAGUAGCGCGGGCAUCGGCGCUACAGCUAAACUUUAGCAGUAGCGUUGGUCAGCCCGCGCUACUGCGAUGUAUGUUAGUAGUAGCAGGCACUACUGCUAAGUAAUAGCAGCGUGGUCUUCAACCCAUGCUAGUACUAUUCAUCUGUAUUUCAAUUCUUUUUAUUUUAUACUCUAUUUUACAUCUACUAAUCCAACUUUUGGCCACAUGAAUCUAAUCUGGGUUUCUUCCACCCAAUGAUGUAAUAACUCAUCAUGAUCAUAAUAAGUCAUCAUCAUCAUCAUAACAACUCAUCAUCAUAGUCAUAUAGGAACUAGCUCAUCAUUCUAGCACAAUGUAGCACAUAAUUCGUCAUCAUCAUCGUGAUAACAAAUCAUCAUUAUAGUCAUAUAGGAACUAGCUCAUCAUUCUAGCACAAUGUAGCACAAAACUCAUCAUCAUCAUGAUAACAAGCCAUCAUCGUAUUCAUAUGAGAACUAGCUCAUCAUUCUAGGACAAUGUAGCACAUAACUACCUAAGACCUGCUACUCUCUCGAAGGUAAGAUAGCAUAAAAUGGUUAAACCCCUGAAUCUCCAUUACGGAGAAUACAGAUGAACCUAUCUCUCAUUUGUGGGCUGCGCUUGAUGUUGCCCCCAAGUAGUUCCCUGCGAUCAUUCAGAACUUUUCUCCAGUCUUUGAUUGUGAGGACGUCAUCUCUUUGAUGAAUCGUGUAUGCACUGCGGUGACACGUAGGCCAACUUGGCUUUAAGCUAAUAAUGUUCAUGUCACCUUUCAUUUCCAUAAGACGAGGUACACAAUCCACCGGGAAUUUCUAUAGAAGAACAUCAUAAUGACAUACUUAGCAAAAUGUAUAGUUUACUUCAGAAGAAUGUAUGCAAAAGAUGCAUUGAUGAUAUAAUAGGAAAAUCUUACCAUGAUAUCUCGAUGGAUGUUACCGUAAUUCAACACGUGGACUAGUGGCACGUAUUGAUCAUAACUUGGAGGAAUAUGACAACUCAUCUUAAAAGUCUCAACAUCUUGAAUCCAUGAAACAAAAUGAUUUAUCUCCUCGCAAGUUAGCUCAGACCCAUAAGUGUAGUAGGUUUUCUCUACUACUUCCCGUACAUUUCUUGAAGAAUGGAAACUCACAUAGAGGUAGAAGUGGAAGCAUACCCUUUUAAGUGAACAAUAUAAAUUACUUAAUAAAUAUGUUUGAGAAACUAACAUAGAGGUAGAAGUGGAAGCAUAUCAACAUCGACCCAAAUGUUGAUAUUAUCUUCAUCGAUGUCAUCUUCAGGAUCACCAAGAUCGAAGGUCACAUGCAUACCCUCCUGAAAACCAUACGCCUUGCAUAUUUCUAUCCAAUUCGAGCAACCAAAAUGGGAGUAGGUCACCGCAUGUUGGAAACGUUGCAUGGAAAACAAAAAACAAUUCUACGCACACGCAAGAUCUAUCAAAGAAGAUGCAUAGCAAUGAGAUGGGAGAGCGUGUCUACGUACCCUCGUAGACCGUCAGCGGAAGUGUUUGAUAACACGGUUGAUGUAGUCAAACUUCUUCGCGCUCCAACCGAUCAAGUACCGAACGUACGACACCUCCGCAUUCUGCAGGCGUUCAGCUCGGUGACGUCCUCAGCCUUCUUGAUCCAGCAAGACAACGAGGUAGUGGAUGAGUUUCGACAACAUGACGGCAUGGUGACGGUGAUGGUGAAGCUAUAUCCACAGGGCUUCGCCUAAGCAGUACGACAAUAUGUCCGGGGUGUAAACGGUGGAUGGGGCGCCGCACAUGGAAAAACAUUUAUUUUCCUAUCUAAAACCGACUCUAACUUAUGUUCUAAAUAUAACGGUCCCGUCUAUUGUAGCACUCCACUAGUAGAAAUAGGGCCAAUUGUCCCGGUCCAUAAGGGCCUUUAGUCCCGGUUCUUACACGAAACGGGACUAAAGGCCGUCCACGUGGCCGCUGCCUGGAGGUCCACCUUUAGUCCCGGUUGGUAACACCAAGCGGUAUAAAGGAAGUUUUAUGAUUUUUUUGAAUUUUUUUCUUGAUUUUCAAAUUUUUGAAUUAUUUUAACCUCUGAUCUCUAAUCACCCCUCAUCACUACUCAAUUUAACCUCUAAUCUCUAAUCACCCCUCAUCAUUGUAAAUCAUCUAACUUCCCGGAGGGUCACCCAUCCUCUCACUACUCCAGCCUGAGCACGUUUAACUUCCGGGUUCUAUUAUCCCUCGUUUCCAAGCCUGUACUUAUUGUUUUCCUGACAAUAGUAAGAUGUCAAUCCUAUUAACCCUCAGGAAUUUAGCUUGAGCAUGAAGUCACACAUUUCACUGUUUGAGUUUGAAACUAUUGUUCUAAAAAACAAUAAUUAUUUAGUAACACUAAUAUUUCUUGAAUAAGUAGUUGGACCACAGUUUGACCAGAUUUGACCGAAAUUAAAAAAAACUGAAACAAUUAUUUAGCAACACUAAUAUUUCUUGAAUAAGUAGUUUGACCAUAGUUUGACCACAGUUUGACCAGAUUUGACCAAAUUUCAAAAAAAAACUGAAAUAAUUAUUUAGCAACACUAAUAUUCUUGAAUAAUUAUUUAGUAACACUAAUACUUCUUGAAUAAGUAGUUUGACCAGAUUUAACAAAAAUUCAAAAAAAACUGAAAUUUGAGCAUAACUUUUUUUCCUUUUAGAAUUUGAGGAUUCUAAAAAUUUGCAAACAAGCCGUAGGCCGUCAAAAUUGGAUCCGGAUUUUCGUGCUGAAUAUUUUGAUAUAUUAUACGUUUUUUCUGACAUCGUAUGCAAAAGUUAUAGCUGUUUUAUAUUUUUCCUACACUUUUUGCAAAACAUGUCCAAAUUUAAGUUUUUAAAUUUUCCUAACUAGUAGAUGUAGUAACAUAACUACAUCUCGAAGGAUUUUCAUUUUUAAAGUUUUUAUCAUUUCUUUUGCUUUUUACAAAACUGAAAAGGCGAUCCACAGGACGGCAGGGGGGGGGGGUUAGAGUUUGAAAAUGAGACCUUUAGUACCUGUUCGUGCCAUGAACCGAUACUAAUGCUUCAAACCCCUGGGACUAAUACCUGUACGGUGCCCUAGCCGUUUGAACCGGGACUAAUGCUCACAUUAGUCCCGGUUCGUAAUGCAACCGGGAUUAAUGCUCUUUUCUGGCCGAAUCAAAGCCCUGUUUUCUACAAGUGUCGUCUAAAAUACACUGCUCGGCUGCGCGCCUGGGCCAAGUAUCUCGGUCUAUCGAGCUGGCCCGGUCAAAACCAGGACCAGACCGACUUAUUUUCGGGCCUGUUUCUGCAGACCGGACCGACCAUUUUUAUCAGCGGGCCAGGACCGUUCGGUCCGAUCCGUUGCGGGCCACGAGCCGGGCCAAAAGCCCGCUCGCCACGUCCAGGCCGAGUCUUGUGUAUCGUUGUACAUUUCAAAGCAGCAAGCAAGGAUCGGAGUACCCAAAUACUGUAGCAGCCUAGACGUUCCCCAAAUACAGUAUAAACUAGUGAACUUAUGAGGAAAUUUCCUUGGACCACUUUCAGUGACCAGCACCCACCGCUUUCCUUGACGUGAUCCGCCCGUCCCCCAUUGCGUCACACGCCUAUCUCCGCAAAGUCACACUCCCAACCCUCUAAAGGCUUGAGUGCUCUACCCACAGCCAUUACCACGCCUCGCACAAUUGUCGCCAGGCGAGACAAGGACAGCUAGCAAGAGAGCAAGGCGAUGUCAAUGGCGGACGAGCAAUACGACGCUGGGCCGCGUGGGGCGCCGCAUGGGCUGCUGUUGGCGGUGGUGGUGGGGCUGCUGGUUGGGUGGCCGCUUUUCCUAAGUGACGGCGCUGAGGCGGUCACCGAUGCCAUCGCCGGGCUGCUUGGCCCCGUGGGCCUGCUCCUCCUCCCGGUGGGGCUCCUCCUCCUCAUCCACCUCCUCUCCUGCGACCGCUCCCCCGACGUGUUCGAGUUUGCCGGCUCGCCCGACGCCGUGCACCACGUCGGGGGAUCACCCGUCGGCGUGGCGCUGAUGCUGGUCCUCAUGCUUGCCCUCCUCUACUACCGGUCCGCACUCUUCGGUGGCGGCGGAGGCGACGACGAGUAGGCGCCUAGGCGCUCGCCAGUAGGUACUAGGUAGAGCCUGAUCUCGGUGUGGCUGGUUGGUUGUUCAGACUUGCGAGUAGGCACUCCAGCAGGCAGCAGUAAAUAAAAAAAGUGAGAGCUUUGCGUCUAAUCUGUUCCAAGUGUUGCAUUCCAAUUUUGGUCCAACAGGCAAGGACAAACAAAAAGUUGGAACUGAAUUUGACCUGAUCUGUGCCUUUUGAACCGAUAGUGAGACGCUAGCUCCAACUGCCUCGUACCGUGUAGUGUACUACUCCAAAAAGCUAAUGGUGUUCUGCUCGUAGUAGCUGAAAAUGAAAACAUAACUUUGGAUUUCCAAAAGGAGAAAAAAGGGCAAUUUGAAGUCAGUUUCAUGGGAUGUUUAGCUGACAAAUCUGUGCACUAACAAGUGAUUACACACUCAUCCUAGGCAAGAACGUAGCUUGCUAAGGUCCUGGUAUCUAAUGGUUCCACAGUUACUCAGGAGUGACGUGGUGGGGGAGUUCCGCGGGUGUGCUGUGUGAUUUGGAAGCGAACUAGAAGUAACUAGUCUUCAACCCAUGCUACUGCACG
rnacentral:lncRNA from 1 species